rnacentral:ncRNA from 1 species
CCUGUAUAGAUCAGGUUGACGCGGGAUGUGGCUUUUGUGGCUGAACCGUUAA